rnacentral:lncRNA from 1 species
CUGAAGGAUUAUAGCCUCUUCAUCAUUAGCUGUCAAUUAAUCAGUACACUUUUUAAUUUGACCUAAGAGCUCUUCUUCCUGCCCAUCAGGGAGUGUCCAAGUUCUGAAAGAAAGCCUGAGCUGUGAGGAUAGUAGUAUAUUCAUCUGGGACCUUAUUUUUGAUUAAAUAUAUUCUUUCCCAAAUUUUUCCUUAUCUUUCUGUAGGCACUAUUACUAUUUUUGAAGCAAAUACUAUACUAACAUUGACUGCUCACAUAAUAACUCUUUAAUUAUAUAAUAUCUUCAAAACUUAAAGAAAAACACACUAUUUCUAAAAUAAGCAACCAUGUUUAUUUACCUGUGGCUUGAGUAACCUCCCAUUUGCUGAGAAUAGCCGUUCCCAUUUCUGACUGCUAUUGGGCUUCUCCAUGUAUCAACCAUUCAAUGAGGCUGUCCUGGAUCGUAGAGUGAUGGGACAGACAGGCAAGGAGAGGUCAUGGAUGAGUCUUUUACCACAAGUUGAAGGUAGCAGAACAAAGGGAGUUAUCUCCUUACCAAAGGCCCACCCCCAGACCACCAAAGGCCUGAGGGUAGGAGGAUUUUAUUCUUGCUAAAAGUACAACUGGAGAGCAUUUCCAGUGCUGCUGCUUUAAAAGCAUAACUCUUCUCCUCUCUAUUUUUCCUGGGAUUGAGGAUGAAUAUUUGCCAAGCACUAUGGUGGCCAUUAUCUCUGGUGGGACUCCUACCUUCCCCAGGAUCAAAGGGGUGCUGAUCCAUCACCUUCAAAGCACAGAAGAAAGCAAGGAAUUUCAGGAAGGCUACGAGAUGAAAUGGCUUGUCCAAAUAUACCAAGCCAGGUUGUGCACAAUGAGGACCCCACAUCUUCCAACUAACUGCCAGACUUCCUGUUGAUUCCCAAACCAGACCAAGCUAGUUUUAGUUCUGGUAACAGCAGACAUGGUGGUUUUUAGGCUUUAUCAAAAGAAAGUUUUAAAAUUCCCCGAUUGUCCCUCAGUGCAGUUAUCAGAAGGUAAAUAUCAAGGCUGCCUAUCCCUUGGCUGUUGGGCCUAUUCUCAGCAUCCAAGGAUCCAGUGAGGGUGUUGUUAACACAUCCCAUGUGCCCUUCUGUGAAUAGAAAGUUGCGUCAGAUGCUAUUUUGGAUUUGUAGGUGCUAAUCUUGACAUAACUAGACAAGAGGGUUGUUGUGGGAACUGUGUACUAGUGACAAUAAUUUCAUGAUGAUGUUGGUCAGAGAAGUGAGCAGGAGCUGAGCUACCCCCUCCUGUGAGGUCUCUAAUUAGUAAUCCUGUAGUAGGGAUGGAAAAUGUAAGAUUGUGUCUCUUUUUCUGCUAAUACUCCUCUCCUCUCCUCUUAUACUGAGAUUCUCCUUCAUGAACAGCCCUGGUGGAAGUUCAGAUAGUCUGAGGAGGAGCAACACAGCAAGAGAGCUCAGAGAUAGAUGAGGGUUUUUAAAAGCUGUUUUUUCCAGCAUUAGUUUUCUCAAGCUUUUAUUCAGGAUGUGGAUGGUAUGUGCUCUAUUUAAUGUGCCUCUUUUUCUGUCACAGCCUUAUUUGGCUUGGAGCAUAUUUUACCUGUAUUCUUUACCAUCCACCAUCUAUCCAUCCAUCCAUCUGCAUAUUUAUUUACUUAAUUAGCAUUUACUGAAUACUAUGAAAUCUCAAGUUCAGAUGCUAAGAAUAAAGUAGUCAAAUCAUGGCCCUGUUAAAGAUCAAGGGUUGUAUGGGCCAGAUAUAAGGAGACUGUGUAAGGAGCGCAAAGUGAUUAUCAGGAGUUCAGAGGGGAAGUGUGGACAAGCUGCUAAUAAUAACUUAAUAGAACAAGACUUUACUCAGAUGCAGCUGGGGGAAGUUAGGGAAAGUUCUAGAAGAAGGUGGCAACUGUGCAGAGUCUUAACAGAUAGGACAGGGGAGGCACUGAGUUCCAGGAGUGGAGAAAUGCUUGUGAAGAGGAAUAAUGCAGUGGUGUCACUGGAAGGGCAGGAAGUCAUGUGAUUUUCACUGAGCCUACAUAGGAAGAAAGUGCCUCUCCAGUCCCCCACUGGCCUCUCAGACUGCCCUUCAGUCCAGGCCCCACAUGCCACAGAGGAUACUCUGCAAAUAUGAGCACUAGGGAGCUAUUUAUGAUAUUUAUACAUUGAACAAAAUCUUGAGCAAACUAAUGGGAGCAAGAACCAUUUUCAAAAGGCUUCAUCCAUCUCUUAGCACUCUUGCUAUGACUCCUAUUCACAGUGGUCUAGACUUCCAUCAGGGUUGUUCAUGAAGGAGAAUCUCUGUCUGGGAGCAGAGGAGAAUUAGCAGAAAAAGUCACCUGGUUUUCUCUGCUACCUGGGGAUCAGUUAGAGCCCUCAUGGUAGGGGAUAGCUUGCACUUACUUCUCUGCUUGAUCUUAUCAAAAAAAUUGUUGCUUUAAGUGAAAAAAUUUAAGCCUAGCAAUGAUAUGGUCAUAUUUGUAUUCAAAGAAUUAAAAAUGUACAAGAUAGAAUAAUUAUACUAAAAUUGGAAAUCACAGAUAUUGAAAAAGGAAGAAAGAAUAGUCACCAGGAAUCAUACCAUUGGGGGGCAAUAACUCAUAACACUGAAAAUGUUUUGCUGCAAAUACCUUUAGACUUUUGUUGUAUCUAUAUGAAUGCAUUUAGCCUAAUUUUAUAUUUUUUAUAUAUAUAUAUAUUAUAUACUCACAUUUUUACAUAUAUCAUAUGUUUUGCCCAUUUUGCAUUUUUCUAUAUUUUUAUAAAAAUAAAUCUAAGGGACAUAAUAAUUUUAACUUUUUCUCCACAUCAGUGUGACUCCAAUAUGGUACUGUGACUUGCAAUGCC